rnacentral:rRNA from 1 species
GAGCGAGAAAAGGGGGGCAACUCCCUGAGUACAGCGGCGCACGGGUGAGUAACACGUGGGUAAUCUGCCCUGAAGUGGGGAAUAACACCGGGAAACCGGUGCUAAUACCGCAUACGAUCACGGAGUCUGCGGAUUUUGUGAUGAAAGGAGCAAUUCGCUUUAGGAGGAGCCCGCGGCUGAUUAGCUAGUUGGUGAGGUAAUGGCUCACCAAGGCUACGAUCAGUAUCCGGUCUGAGAGGACGGUCGGACACACUGGAACUGAGACACGGUCCAGACUCCUACGGGAGGCAGCAGUGGGGAAUUUUUCGCAAUGGGGGCAACCCUGACGAAGCAACGCCGCGUGGGUGAUGAAGUCUCUUGGGACGUAAAACCCUUUCGACGGGGAAGAAACCGCAAGGUUGACGGUACCCGUAGAAGAAGCCCCGGCUAACUCCGUG